GUGCUGCACCAACGCGAUGUUGUGUGGAUAAAAAGUUUACAGUCAUCAUGACAGAUGUAAGAUCUGUAACAAAAGGAUUAUACGUUUACAACGUGAUGUCCGAGGAUUUUGAUGCAAAACUUAUAGGAAUAAAUACACUUCUGUUCAACCCAGGGCAGAGUAGUGUACCAACAGGAUAUCGACAGGUCCAAGACUUUAAUACGAAAAAGCAGUACAGUAUUACGCCACAAGGCUGUAAUGUAUCGGAUAUAGUAUUUGAUCUUCAAGGACCUUGUGUACCUGAUACUGCUGAAUAUCUAGGCUCCAAUUAUUUUGGAUAUGGUGUUGGCAGUUUAAAGUAUGAUGCCUACAGAUUUACUUUAGAGAAAACCGACGCCAAUAUUACUGUUAUCUUUACUCAAGGAGAUUGCAUACCAGUACUAGAGGGAGUAUCUGGCGUAAUAAAUGGAGUUGCGGUUGAUUCGACCUACACAUUCACAACCUAUGAAAAAGAAAUUCAAGAUCGAUCUAUUUUCAACAUACCAUCAAGUUGUCAACAGCCUUAAAACAAAU